UUCCAAAGCGAAAAUUUUCCUCAUCCUUUUAUUGCUGAGUGCGAGUGUAAGCUAUUCUAUUUCAGAGGAUCCAGUUCCAACCCCAUGGCCUCUUCAAUUUCAUUCCAUUCUCCUCAUGAACUACUCCGGGAUUCCUCAGAUAAUCAACCUCUGGUACGACUGGCCUAAUGGUCGGAACUUCAACAUCAUCCAACACCAGCUCGGCCACGUUCUCUACGACCUCGAAUGGAACAAUGGUACUUCCUUCUUCUACACCUUAGAUUCCUCCAAGACUUGCUCUUCCGCUCAGCUUGAGGUUGGUAUUCUCCGACCCAACUGGCUCGAUGGAGCCAAAUAUCUGGGUCAACGCCAUGUCGAUGGCUUCCUUUGCAAUGUGUGGGAGAAAGUUGAUUUCAUUUGGUAUUAUGAAGAUGUUGAAACCAAGAGGCCUGUUCAUUGGCUCUUCUACACUGGUAACAUCUUUUCUUCUGUCUCUCUAGCUUUCUCAUAUGAAAAUUCUAAAGAAUUUUAAUUAGAAACUCUUUCUUCCUAGUUCUCAAUCACUAAUACCCCAAAUCAAUUUGAUUCCAAUCCUAAUGUUUGGGUUAGACACGGAUUGCCAUUAUGGUCAAUCACACUCGAAUGUCGUUGACUUACAAAAUUGCAAAAUUAGAGCUUGAUUGACUAAUCUUGAAAUAAGCACAAAUGCCACAACUUUCAUUGUUAAACUAUCUAACAAGACUUUAAAUAUCCUUCCAAAGAAAAUGGUAAUGCCACAUUAUAGUCAAUAAAAAGAGAAAAAAUACCUGUACCAAUUACCGCCAUGCUAUUCAAUUGGCAACAAUCAUAUUGACACUUUCAUUCUUAACUUCCUGAUAUUCACUAUUCAAUGGUGUUUUUCCUUUCCACAACUGUGCAGGAAGACAGGCUCAUGUGAUGACAUUUGAAGUGGGUGCUGUGCUAGACGAUGAGAACUGGCAAGCCCCUGUUUACUGCUUUGAUAGCACGGGAACUGCUGUCAAUGAUGUGGCUCUCCACCAGAAUUUGCCUCUAAUGGCUGAUGUUAACAAUAGGCUUCUCCACCAGAAUUUCCCUGCCAUUUGACACCUUUUUUGUAGUCCCAUCCCAUUGCGCUGAACUUGUUCAAUUUGAAUAAAUUAGACACUGAAGCUUGUAUAUCUAUCUUCAUGUUUGUUCUUGUUCAAGUGAAUAUGGAAUUGCCAAGUAUCUUUCUAAUAAUGUAUAUAUUCCACUGCAAAAAAUAACAUGAACGGCGCUACUAGUAAACUACUUAACUAUAAUACAAGAUGCAGUAAGGAAGUAUGACUUAUCGUCUACUCAGACUCCUGGAUUGAAAUGCUUCUUUCUGCAUAGCGUUCUUCUAAUGUUCUCAGCAUUUUGACUGACCUCUCGCUGCUCAAGCUUUGCAUUAAGGCUUUCUUUUCCUACUCUCCAAGUGCAUUAAAUAUGAAAACAGAUUUGUCGCCAACAUCAUCGUGGAAAUGAAUAUGAAACCAGUCGGACAAAGCAGCAAUAAAAUCCAACUACAUAUUCGUGGCGUUUGUUUCUUUGCAUAUGACAGCUUGUCUUCUUCAAAGAUUCUGAAACCGACUUUCGCACAAUGAAGAUUCUUAAAGACUAUGAAGAAGCAUCUGGUCAGGCCAUUAAUUAAGGUAAAUCAAUGUUUAUCAAUAAUAAAGGUGUUUCUCUGCGAAGAGAAAAGCUAUCGAAGCUUAGCUUGGUUUACACGUAGUGAGAUCCUUUGACCUUUUAUCUCAGGUUGUCUUCCUUCAAUGGUCGUGACAAAGGUCAUAUUUCAGAGAGGUCAAGCAAAAGGUAGGUUCUGGAGGGCGUGCAAAAUUGGAAGAGAAGAAUUCCUUCUCUGCUAGGGGAAGGAGGUUUUGUUGAAAGUGGUUGUUCAAGCUAUUCCUUACUAUACAACGAGUUACUUCAAGCUCCAGAGGACCUUUGUAAAGAUCUUGAGAGGAUGUGUGUCCACUUUUCCACUUAAAAUUCACUGGAAAAGUUGGAGAAUAUACAUAGAAGGAUAAUUGAGAACCAUGUUUACUUUUUAGAAAAAUUUUUAGGAAUGUGCACAAUAUUUAGAUUGAAAAAUUUAGAAGGGUGUCCAAAUCAUAAGUUAUGACCAUGAAGAACAGUUUAUUAAAAUGUUUUAGAGGUUUAUCAAGAAUAAACUAUUAGAAUGGAUUAAUCGAUGAUUAUCACUAAUUGGUCAUAGGUUAUUGCAGUUUAAACUUCUUUUGACGGUUUUUUUUAUCGAAAAGAUGUCUUUCUCAAUAGUUUCUUCCCUCUCAUUAUUGACAAGACGAAUUAUUGACGAGGAGAAAUAGUUGACUUGGUUACUUUCUUUCUAUUUUACAAAGCUUUGAUGAAAAUUGAACUAUAAAUAAUAUAACUAAAUUUUAGAAAUGGUUGCAAAUAUAACCAUUAGAUUUAAAAUAAUUAAAUAUAUAACAACCUUAAAAAAAAUGAUAUGUAUAAUAAAAUCUAUCGAGAACACGACAUUGUAAUAUUUACAUUUUUUUUUUGAAGAUGUAAUUAUAAUUAUACCAAAAAUGACUGCACACUUUACCCUAAAUUCUAAUUAUUAAAAUCACUAAAUCAUAAAAAUUAUAAUUUUUAUAGUUAUAAAAAAAAAAAAAAAAGAAAUUGAAUCAUGGAGAAGAAAUAAAUGAGAAAAAGUGCGAGAGAGAAGAGAGAGAUAGAAGCCAUGGCUUCCAAGGCGAAAUUCUUCCUUAUCCUUUCAUUGUUGAGUGUGAGUGUAAGGCAUUCCAUUUCAGAGGAUCCAGUUCCAACCCCAUGGCCUCUUCAAUUUCAUUCCGUUCUCCUCAUGAACUACUCUGGGAUUCCUCAGAUAAUCAACCUCUGGUACGACUGGCCUAAUGGUCGGAACUUCAACAUCAUCCAACACCAGCUCGGCAACGUUCUCUACGACCUCGAAUGGAACAACGGUACUUCCUUCUUCUACACUUUAGAUUCCACCAAGACUUGCUCUCCCGCUCAGCUUGAGGUCGGUAUUCUCCGACCCAAUUGGCUCGAUGGAGCCAAAUAUCUGGGUCAACGACAUGUCGAUGGCUUCCUUUGCAAUGUCUGGGAGAAAGUUGAUUUCAUUUG
rnacentral:lncRNA from 1 species